rnacentral:rRNA from 1 species
AUGUCCUGGCGGUGGGCUCUGGCGCGUCGCGUCGCCACGCUCGUCGGCGGCGGCACCGGCGGCCCAGGCGCCGCCCAGGCGCAGAGGCUCUUCUCCUCGUCGGGCGCCCUCCUGGGGAGGCUCCCUCCCGCGCCGCCCCAGAUUCGGAACAAGGUGGUGGGUUGCAGAGGAGCUGCUUUCGUGAACUCGCGAUGGCUGCAUGAUGCCACCCAAUGCCAGACUCGCCAGGAUGGGGUAUCGAGGGCCGAAGAACAACAGGAUCCAUUUGAAUUGGUUGCUGAUGAACUAUCGAUUCUUGGAAAUAGACUACGAUCCAUGGUGGUUGCUGAGGUCCCUAAACUAGAAUCAGCUGCUGAAUAUUUUUUUAAAGUAGGAGCUGAGGGAAAAAGAUUCCGACCUACGGUUUUAUUGCUUAUGGCAUCAGCUCUGAAAUUCCCAAUACCAGAAUCGACAGAUGUUGGAGUUUUCAGUAUAUUGGCAAGUAAGCUGCGCACACGGCAGCAAAACAUUGCCGAGAUAACUGAAAUGAUCCAUGUCGCAAGUCUUCUGCAUGAUGAUGUUCUGGAUGAUGCUGACACUAGGCGAGGUGUCACUUCAUUGAAUUGCAUUAUGGGCAACAAGCUUUCUGUUUUGGCUGGUGACUUUCUCCUGUCCAGAGCAUGUGUGGCACUUGCAGCACUUGGGAAUACAGAGGUGGUAUCUCUUAUGGCAACUGCAGUUGGACAUCUAGUUACUGGUGAAACUAUGCAAAUGUCAACAAGCAGAGAGCAACGGCGAAGUAUGGAGUACUACUUGCAGAAGACGUACUACAAAACAGCAUCAUUGAUAUCAAACAGUUGCAAGGCUGUUGCUAUUCUUGCAGGGCACACUGCUGAGGUUUCAGUGCUUGCAUACGAAUAUGGUCGAAACCUGGGUCUAGCCUUCCAGUUGAUCGACGAUGUUCUUGAUUUCACAGGAACCUCUGCAUCACUUGGGAAGGGUUCAUUAUCUGAUAUUCGUCAUGGAAUCAUUACUGCUCCAAUGCUAUAUGCGAUGGAAGAAUUCCCACAACUACAAGAUGUCGUUGACCACGGUUUUGACAAUCCUGCAAAUGUUGAAAUCGCCUUGGACUACCUUCAGAAGAGCCGGGGAAUCGAAAGAACAAAAGAACUUGCGCAAGAACACGUUAACCUUGCGGUCAAAGCCAUCGAAGCUCUCCCGGACAGCGACGAUGAAGAUGUUCUGAUUUCAAGGCGCGCUCUCAUUGAUAUCACACAGAGAGUCAUCACGAGGACAAAAUAG